GACGAACGCUGGCGGCGUGCUUAACACAUGCAAGUCGAACGGAAAGGCCCUGCUUUUGUGGGGUGCUCGAGUGGCGAACGGGUGAGUAACACGUGAGUAACCUGCCCUUGACUUUGGGAUAACUUCAGGAAACUGGGGCUAAUACCGGAUAGGAGCUCCUGCUGCAUGGUGGGGGUUGGAAAGUUUCGGCGGUUGGGGAUGGACCCGCGGCUUGUCAGCUUGUUGGUGGGGUAGUGGCUUACCAAGGCUUUGACGGGUAGCCGGCCUGAGAGGGUGACCGUCCACAUUGGGACUGAGAUACGGCCCAGACUCCUACGGGAGGCAGCAGUGGGGAAUAUUGCACAAUGGGCGGAAGCCUGACGCAGCAACGCCGCGUGCGGGAUGACGGCCUUCGGGUUGUAAACCGCUUUCGCCUGUGACGAAGCGUGAGUGACGGUAAUGGGUAAAGAAGCUCCGGCUAACUACGUG
rnacentral:rRNA from 1 species